GAUGAACGCUGGCGGCGUGCCUAAUACAUGCAAGUCGAGCGAACGGACGAGAAGCUUGCUUCUCUGAUGUUAGCGGCGGACGGGUGAGUAACACGUGGAUAACCUACCUAUAAGACUGGGAUAACUUCGGGAAACCGGAGCUAAUACCGGAUGAUAUUUUGAACCGCAUGGUUCAAAAGUGAAAGACGGUCUUGCUGUCACUUAUAGAUGGAUCCGCGCUGCAUUAGCUAGUUGGUAAGGUAACGGCUUACCAAGGCAACGAUGCAUAGCCGACCUGAGAGAGUGAUCGGCCACACUGGAACUGAGACACGGUCCAGACUCCUACGGGAGGCAGCAGUAGGGAAUCUUCCGCAAUGGGCGAAAGCCUGACGGAGCAACGCCGCGUGAGUGAUGAUGGACUUCGGAUCGUAAAACUCUGUUAUUAGGGAAGAACAUAUGUGUAAGUAACUGUGCACAUCUUGACGGUACCUAAUCAGAAAGCCACGGCUAACUACGUG
rnacentral:rRNA from 1 species